rnacentral:rRNA from 1 species
UCAAGAUAAGAUUUCCCACCGCAAGGGUAAGACCCCAGAAAGACUAUCUGGCUGAUAGGUCGAAGGUGUAAGUGCAGCAAUGUAUUUAGCUUAUCGAUACUAAUAGGUCGAGGACUUGACCAA